rnacentral:rRNA from 1 species
GGAUUAUUUUGACAGAGACUUCGGUUGAAGUCGUUAUAAUCCUAGUGGCGGACGGGUGAGUAACGCGUGGGUAACCUGCCUCACACUGGGGGAUAACAGUCAGAAAUGACUGCUAAUACCGCAUAAGCGCACGGAGCCGCAUGGCUCAGUGUGAAAAACUCCGGUGGUGUGAGAUGGACCCGCGUUGGAUUAGCCAGUUGGCAGGGUAACGGCCUACCAAAGCAACGAUCCAUAGCCGGCCUGAGAGGGUGGACGGCCACAUUGGGACUGAGACACGGCCCAGACUCCUACGGGAGGCAGCAGUGGGGAAUAUUGCACAAUGGGGGAAACCCUGAUGCAGCGACGCCGCGUGAAGGAAGAAGUAUCUCGGUAUGUAAACUUCUAUCCGCAGGGAAGAAAAUGACGGUACCUGACUAAGAAGCCCCGGCUAACUACGUGCCAGCAGCCGCGGUAAUACGUAGGGGGCAAGCGUUAUCCGGAUUUACUGGGUGUAAAGGGAGCGUAGACGGAGCAGCAAGUCUGAUGUGAAAGGCGGGGGCUCAACCCCCGGACUGCAUUGGAAACUGUUGAUCUUGAGUACCGGAGAGGUAAGCGGAAUUCCUAGUGUAGUGGAGAAAUGCGUAGAUAUUAGGAGGAACACCAGUGGCGAAGGCGGCUUACUGGACGGUAACUGACGUU